UACGUAGGGUGCGAGCGUUAAUCGGAAUUACUGGGCGUAAAGCGUGCGCAGGCGGUUUGUUAAGACAGAUGUGAAAUCCCCGGGCUUAACCUGGGAACUGCAUUUGUGACUGGCAAGCUAGAGUAUGGCAGAGGGGGGUAGAAUUCCACGUGUAGCAGUGAAAUGCGUAGAGAUGUGGAGGAAUACCGAUGGCGAAGGCAGCCCCUUGGGCCAAUACUGACGCUCAUGCACGAAAGCGUGGGGAGCAAACAGG
rnacentral:rRNA from 1 species